UCAGCGCUUGUCCCAGCGAUCCAGCCAUUACUUGAAACCAUCCUGAGAAUGCGCGCCUCUCUGGAAAUUGUCUUCAACCCUCCAGCACAUUCUUUUGAAUGUUCUUGAUGAGGGCAAAUCCGAGACUUUCGAGUCUGAAUAUUUGUUCGUAUGUAACAGUUGCUUGGUCGUUCCAAAAAGCACCCGAGCCAUACUUCUGCCAGGCAGCCUUCCUGUGUUUCCUCCGCUCCUCUGCUCCUCCAACUCUCUAACUUGAGAUUGAAGUGUGCACAGCUCACAGUUUACUUUAUGUCUUAUAAGGACCUAGACAAGAGGACACAAAUGUCACCAAUGCAAGGGAUGUCUUUAUGGAGCAAGAAAUGCUCAUGGGCCUGAUCUGAGAUUUGAGUACCAUGUGUUCAAUGUACCCCAACGCCACACUUUACCUCACAAGUAUUCUCAACUAUUACAUAAAAUAAAAUAAAAGGUGGAGGAGAAGAGGCUCUGGAAAGGUGGCUCAGUUCAUAAAGGAGCCACAGAAGCCAUUCUGGACUUCCUUCUGUUUCUGCGCAAGCAUCAUCUACCUAUUAGCUUUUGCUCUUCUUAAACAAUAGCCACUUCUUGCUCCAUUACAGCCGUGCCUUUCUACCGUGCUGUGUAUCUUGGCUCCUGAGCUGCUGCUGUGAAGAGACAUUGUGACCAAGGAGGACCUUGUUUUAGGUACAAGAAGAAGGGCCACCUCUUCUCUACACUCUGCAUCUGUGUUCAGAUCAUCACACGGAUGGACUUGCCUGGAGCAAUGGAGCCCUCUCAGUACCCGCCUGCAUGGGAUUGUUUGCAGUUGCC